CCUUGGUGCCUUGGGAGGGGCCCGCGGCCUAUCAGGUAGUUGGUGAGGUAACGGCUCACCAAGCCGACGACGGGUAGGGGGCGUGAGAGCGUGGCCCCCCACACGGGAACUGAGACACGGUCCCGACGCCUACGGGCGGCAGCAGUGAGGAAUCUUGCCCAAUGGGGGAAACCCUGAGGCAGCGACACCGCGUGCGGGAUGAAGGCCUUCGGGUCGUAAACCGCUUUUCUGGGGGACGAGUAAGGACGGUACUCCAGGAAUAAGUCCCGGCUAACUACGUGCCAGCAGCCGCGGUAAAACGUAGGGGGCGAGCGUUAUCCGGAAUCACUGGGCGUAAAGGGCGUCUAGGCGGCAGCCUAAGUCCCGUGUGAAAGCUCCCGGCUCAACUGGGAGAGGGCAUGGGAGACUGGGCAGCUAGAGACUCGGAGGGGGGUGUGGAAUUCCCGGUGGAGUGGUGGAAUGCGUUGAGAUCGGGAGGAACACCAGUAGCGAAGGCGGCACCCUGGCCGAGAUCUGACGCUGAAGCGCGAGAGCGUGGGGAGCGAACGGGAUUAGAUACCCCGGUAGUCCACGCCGUAAACGAUGACAACUAGGUGUUGGGUGUCCAAGGAUGCUCAGUACCGCAGCAAACGCGAUAAG
rnacentral:rRNA from 1 species